rnacentral:rRNA from 1 species
UUGACCUCAAAUCAGGUAGGACUACCCGCUGAACUUAAGCAUAUCAAUAAGCGGAGGAAAAGAAACUAACAAGGAUUCCCCUAGUAACUGCGAGUGAAGCGGGAAAAGCU